CGGCACGUAGCGCAGCCUGGUAGCGCACCGUCAUGGGGUUUCGGGGGUCGGAGGUUCAAAUCCUCUCGUGCCGACCA
rnacentral:tRNA from 1 species